rnacentral:rRNA from 1 species
AAAUGAAUUGACGGGGACCCGCACAAGCAGCGGAGCAUGUGGUUUAAUUCGAUGCAACGCGAAGAACCUUACCAGGGCUUGACAUCCCUCGGACCGAAUUAGAGAUAAUUCUUUCCCUUCGGGGACUGAGGGACAGGUGGUGCAUGGUUGUCGUCAGCUCGUGUCGUGAGAUGUUGGGUUAAGUCCCGCAACGAGCGCAACCCCUGCUUCUAGUUGCUACCAGUAAGGCUGAGCACUCUAGAGGGACUGCCGAUGAUAAAUCGGAGGAAGGUGGGGACGACGUCAAAUCAUCAUGCCCUUUAUGUCCUGGGCUACACACGUGCUACAAUGGUCGGUACAAUGGGUUGCCAACGAGCGAUCGUGAGCUAAUCUCAUAAAGCCGAUCCCAGUUCGGAUUGCAGGCUGCAACUCGCCUGCAUGAAGUCGGAGUUGCUAGUAAUCGUGGAUCAGAAUGCCACGGUGAAUGCGUUCCCGGGUCUUGCACACACCGCCCGU